rnacentral:miRNA from 1 species
AAGGUCACAAUCAACAUUCAUUGUUGUCGGUGGGUUGUGAAGAUGGAGCCAGACCCACCGAGGGAUGAAUGUCACUGUGGCUGGGCUGCACACAGCCUAAGGCGAGUGGG